CUACCUCGAGCUUUAGGCUUGUUGUUGGGUACCGCCCGUGAGGGCGCACCUCAAAUCUAUUGGCGCCUCCGAGGGGCCCCCGAACGCAUAGAGCUCAACCGCCCGCGUUUGGAGGCCUGAUAGGGGGUGGCCUCUUUGCCUACGUGCAGCUUCCUAGC
rnacentral:misc_RNA from 1 species